UGCCGGGUGGUGUAGUGGUACAUCCCACGAUCCACGGUGCCUCGCUUGAGGACCGUUCUGUAGCGUGCUAUGGAGCGUGGUGUCGCAUGGUUCGAAUCCUGCCCCGGCAA